UUUUUUUUUAAAUCGAGACGGGGUCUCGCUCUGUUGUCCAGACUGGAGUGCAAUGGCAUGAUCAUGGCUCACUGCAGCCUUGAUCUCCUGGGCUUAAGUGAUCCUUCCACCUCAGCUCCCUAAGUAGCUGGGCCACAGACACAUGCUGCCACACCCAGCUAAUUUUUUAAUUUUUGUAGAGAUGGGGUCUCACUAUGUUGCCCAGGCUGGUCUUGAACUCCUGGGCUCAAGCAGUCCUCCUACCUUGGCCUCUGAAAGUGUUGGGAUUACAGGUGUGAGCCACCGUGCCUGACCAAGGCUCCUUUAAAGAGUGUAUAUUGUCCCUCAUACCUUCAGGCUUUAUGGUCGCUCAUACAAUCGUUUUGGCACCAUCCAUUUUAUUUUUAUUUUAUUUAUUUAUUUUUAAAAUUAAAUUAAAAUUUUUUUUUUUUUGAGAUGAAGUCUCACUCUGUCACCCAGGCUGGAGUGCAGUGGUGCGUUCCUGGCUCGCUGCA
rnacentral:sRNA from 1 species